rnacentral:rRNA from 1 species
ACGGGAGGCAGCAGUGGGGAAUAUUGGGCAAUGGGCGCAAGCCUGACCCAGCGACGCCGCGUGAGGGAAGAAGGUCUUCGGAUUGUAAACCUCUUUCAGCAGGGAAGAAGGAAGUGACGGUACCUCAUGAAUAAGCCACGGCUAACUACGUGCCAGCAGCCGCGGUAAUACGUAGGUGGCAAGCGUUAUCCGGAUUUACUGGGUGUAAAGGGCGCGUAGGCGGGAGAGCAAGUCAGAUGUGAAAUCUGUGGGCUUAACUCACAAGCUGCAUUUGAAACUGUUUUUCUUGAGUGCUGGAGAGGUAGAUGGAAUUCCUUGUGUAGCGGUGAAAUGCGUAGAUAUAAGGAAGAACACCAGUGGCGAAGGCGAUCUACUGGACAGUAACUGACGCUGAGGCGCGAAAGCGUGGGGAGCAAACAGGAUUAGAUACCCUGGUA